CAAACCUUUAUAUUAGAAUGAGUUAUUUUGAUGAUACAAUCUCAUUUCUAUAUGUUUAAACAUAUGUGUGCCUGCUUUAGAUUAUGAAGCACAAGUCCGAAUAGCAGCUGCCGAAAAGGAGGAGCUAACUUGUAAAGGAGGCAAGAUGAGAGAAGAAAUGCCUAACCUCCAUCACCUAACUUCCCACGCAAACAAGGGAUUAUUUUGUUUCCCCUCACAUUUUUUUUCCUUCACAUAAAGGGCAAUGUUAAGAUUAAGAUUUGGGGGCUAUGCCACGGAGCCUGAUGAGAAACUUAUAUGAAACGCAACACAUUUGAUGGUAGCAAGGUUGACAGGAAGUGUUGCUAAUGUAACUUGAACCUUUACGUGGUUCUAUAUCAAGCCAACUCAGAAGGUCACUUCAGGGGCUUGGCUAUGCAAGUCGUCUUCUAGAGCUGUCAUUUCAGCAGGAAUCACAAACGGAGUUGACACCGAUGAAUGGAAUCCAUCCACUGAUACACAUCUUCCUCGAUUGAUAACCGCUCUGGAAAUGUUGUGGUUGAGUGUAAGGCUGCAUAGCAAGGAGAACUCAGUCCCGUGUUGAGAGCGCUACUUCAGUGUUGAUAAGUUCUAGAGAUGUCCAUUGAUCUUCAAUAGUGAGGUGUUAUAGUUGUAACCACUACUCAGGAACUAACCCAGAGUUGUCCUAGUUCUCACUUCCGGUAUAGGGGUGUGAUCCGGCAUCACCCCUUACUUGCUUUCUACUCAAACUAGUAUGUAUUCUAUCCUCUUUACAUUUUCUUAUCCUUCACAUUGAGGGUAAUGUUUAGAAUAGUUUUGAGGUGUGGGUGUUUGCGUGCAUUCUUCUUUUUGGGGUUGUAAUUUAUCCUAUUUGUGUGUAUAUGUAAGGUUUUCUCUCUAUUAAUUGUCACCAGAAACACUUUUUAAUGGUUUAUUAGUGUAGACUUAGUUUCUCUCAAGGGUUGGAGAACUAAGAUUCCUAAUUUAAAACACCGUACUUAUUAAUAUUUUAAUAUGUGAAAAUGAAUUUGUGAUGCUGAACAAGACCAAGUACAUAUAUUUUCUAUGGUCUUUUGAAAUUUUCUCUAUGGAGUGUGGUGAACGUGGAGUUUGUUGAGGUUUUUUUUCCGUUGAAUGGGAUUUACUUUUUAAAGCAAUAAUACUAGCAAAUAACUGAUAUAUAAAAACUUUGGUAAAGGCUUGUGUUAAUUUAGUCUAUUGAGUAUGGGGUUUGGAAUUCAUAUUCUUUGUAUUUUGUCCUUGUUGCCUUUUUUAAUCUUGUUUACAUGCAGUCCAAACCAGUGAUGGGGAAAUAGACCAACAACUUUCUAUUAGGAGAAAGCAUAGAGACAGUGUUGUGCCACUUUUUUUUAUGCUAGCAUUUAUGUGCAAGGUCAAGUGAACCUCUUGUCCUAAGCUAGGCCACCUGUCACAUUCACAAAACGAGUUUAUGAGGUGAUUCUCUGACAAAUUCUAGGACAUCUAAGUUGAUUCAGUUUGCUCAUUUUCUAGGCAAGAAUCGAUCCAUCCAGAGCUCAAAUGCAUUUCCAGUUUGCCCCUCCACUUCAUUAGUAGGUGGACUUUCCUGGAAAUUUCAUCUUUACUUCUGACCGAAUGAGUGUUAGCACUGGAAUUGGUGCUAUUCCCCACACACCUGAAAUUUGCUCUGACGAGAUGGAUCCUGUUGAAUCCCAGAUUCCUACAAGGUUUGUUUAGUUUAUGGUUUCUUUUGAUUUUUAUACCAUUUAUUAAUUAUUUGUUGUUGUUUUCCUGUGACUAAACCCUGCGAGCAACAAAAACAAAAUUGAAUCAAAUUAGUAAAAUUAUGGUGAUCAUUUUUAGUUCCUUCAUCUCACAUUGCAAUUAGCGAUGGUCCACAAACUCUUGAAAAUGACAUAAUUCCUUCAUUCCUUCUUGCUUGGGCCAGCUACUAAUGGAACCUUCCAGUUACGCAAAAGAACCUGGAAAUGCUACACAUCCACUAAUGCAACUGUCUUCCGAGCAUCCCGAGACAAAUGUCUCUGAGCCAUUUAUAACCUUUGGUGAUGCAUUGCGUAUGUACCAUACUAUCUCAUAGAAGGAUAAUAUUUCCGAUGAUGACUAUAUAAUUUAAUAAGCUAGGCUCGGUCUAGAAGUGGGAAUGAGGUCAAUCCUACAAGAUAAUGAAGCACAAGCAUGAAUAGCAUAUGCCGAAAAGGUCACUAAUUCUGUUGGAUUCCUUAUCUGGAACUUGCUGUCCAACAUAUUAGGAGUUACGGAGGAGCUAACUUCUAAAGGAGGCAAGAUGAGAGAAGAAAUGCAUAACCCCCAUCACCUAACUUCCCACGCAAACAAGGGAGUAUUUUGUUUCCCCUCACAUUUUUUUCCUUCACAUAAAAGGGCAAUGUUAAGAUUAAGAUUUGGGGUAGGGUGUUUGUGUGCGUGCUUGAUUAUGUGGUUGUAAAUAAUUUGAUUACUCUAUCUCCGAUGUGUUGAUUCUGAAGGACCCUUUUUUCAGUAGUGUAUAUAACCAUGCGAAUACUAAAGAAGUUAUGUAUUUUUAAAUGGCAGGACUAUGCCAUGCCAUGGAGCCUGAUGAGAAACUUAUGCGAAAUGAAGCAGAUUUGAUGGUAGCAAGGUUGGCAGGAAGUCUUGCUAAUGUAACUUAUUUGGAACCUUUACGUGGUCCAGUGUCAAGCCAACUCAGAAGGUCACUUCAGGGCUUGGCCAUAGCAAAUGAUCUUCUAGAGUAGUCAUUUUAGCUUGUGACUAAUGGAAUCACAGGCGGCGAUGACACCGAUGAAUAGAAUCCAUCUACUGAAACACAUCUUUCUCUAUUAAUAGCCGCUCUGGAAAUGUUGUGAUACACAAAAAAUUUUGUCCAAACCAUUUAAUGGGGAAAUAGAUCGAUUACUUUCAAACGGGAGCCCUUUAUCCAAAGCCAGGGCAUGUGUCACAUUCACAACGAGUUUAUGAGAAUCGAUCAACCCAGAGCUCAAAUGCAUUUCCAGUUCGCCCCUCGGCUUCAUCAGGAGGUGGAUUAUCCAGGCAAUUUGCAUCUCUACUUCUGACCAAAUGAGUGCUAGCAUUUACUCAUCUGGCCUUGUUAACACUGGAAUUGGGGCUAUGCCCCAUACACCGGAAAUCGACUCUACCGAGAUAGAACCUGUUGGAUCCCAGAAUCCUACAAGGGAGGAGCUAUUAACUUCUAAAGGAAGUAAGAUGAGAGAAGAAAUACCUAACGCCCAUCACCUAACUUCCCAUGCAAACAAGGGAGUAUUUUGUUUUCCCUCACAUUUUUUUUCCUUCACAUAAAGGGCAAUGUUAAGAUUAAGAUUUGGGGUGAGGGUGUUUGUGUGCAUGCUUGAUUAUGUGGUUGUAAAUAAUUUGAUUACUCUAUCUCUGAUGUGUUGAUUCCGAAGGACCCUUUUUUCCAUAGUGUAUAUAACAAUUUGAAUGCUAAAGAAGUUAUGUGUUUUUAAAUGGCAGGUCUAUGCCACGGAGCCUGAUGAGAAACUUAUACGAAAUGCAGCACAUUUGUAGUAGCAAGGUUGACAGGAAGUCUUGCUAAUGUAACCUGUAGGUAUAGAUAACCUUUGCUUUCUACUUUCUUGUGUUAUAAAUGUUAAUGAUCUUGUGAAUUGUCAGAACACUACUGAUGAAUUGUCAGAACACUACUGAAUUGUCAGAACACUACUGAUGAA